GACGAACGCUGGCGGCGCGCUUAACACAUGCAAGUCGAGCGAAGCGGCGGACGGGUGAGUAACACGUGAGUAACCUGCCUUAGACAUUGGGAUAGCCGCGGGAAACCGGGAUUAAUACCAAAUGGACUAAGAUUGACUCGGCUCCAAUUAGCUAGUUGGUGAGGUAACGGCCCACCAAGGCGACGAUGGGUAGCCGGUCUGGGAAGGUGAACGGCCACAUUGGAACUGAGAAACGGUCCAAACUCUACGGGAGGCAGCAGUGGGGAAUAUUGCACAGUGUAGGGAACGCUGAUGCAGCGACGCCGCGUGAACGAAGAAGGCUUUCGAGUCGUAAAGUUCUUUUAUAUGGGAAGCGGUACCAUAAGACAUAGCCCCGGCUAACUACGUGCCAGCAGCCGCGGUAAUUC
rnacentral:rRNA from 1 species